AGUAACACUGCAAAAGUUCGUCAUCUUCAAGCAACUAUUGAAGAACUGAAGCAAAACCAAGCAAAUUUGCAAGCUCAGCUUACGAAUAUUUCAUCAAUGUUACAACGAUUUCUUCCUUCUCAGAUUCCUGAUACUUCAAACGCUUGUAGAGAUGAUGAUGGAGCUGAAUCCCGUCCCUGAUGCAUUUUAGAUUAUCUUUUAUGAGUUUGAUAUGUAUAUGUUUUUUAUUUUUCAGAGUACAUUGUAAUUUGAAACUUUGUAAGCAAAUUUUUAAUCAGAUAUUACAAUAUUCACAUUUCGAAUGAUCUGAGUGUUUGUAUUAAUGUAUCAAUGCAAUACAGGUUCAUAUUGUUA